ensembl:snRNA U6 U6 spliceosomal RNA
GUGCUUGCUCGGCAGCACGUAUACUGAAAUUGGAAUGAUAUAGAGAAGAUUAGCAUGGCCCCUGUGCAAGGAUGAUACGCAAGUUCAUGAUGCAUUCCAUAUUUAA